ACUGAACGCUGGCGGUAGGCCUAACACAUGCAAGUCGAACGGCAGCACAGUAAGAGCUUGCUCUUACGGGUGGCGAGUGGCGGACGGGUGAGGAAUACAUCGGAAUCUACUUUUUCGUGGGGGUUAACGUAGGGAAACUUACGCUAAUACCGCAUACGACCUACGGGUGAAAGCAGGGGAUCUUCGGACCUUGCGCGAUUGAAUGAGCCGAUGUCGGAUUAGCUAGUUGGCGGGGUAAAGGCCCACCAAGGCGACGAUCCGUAGCUGGUCUGAGAGGAUGAUCAGCCACACUGGAACUGAGACACGGUCCAGACUCCUACGGGAGGCAGCAGUGGGGAAUAUUGGACAAUGGGCGCAAGCCUGAUCCAGCCAUACCGCGUGGGUGAAGAAGGCCUUCGGGUUGUAAAGCCCUUUUGUUGGGAAAGAAAAGCAGCAGGUUAAUACCCCGCUGUUCUGACGGUACCCAAAGAAUAAGCACCGGCUAACUUCGUG
rnacentral:rRNA from 1 species